rnacentral:rRNA from 1 species
UACGAAGGGUGCAAGCGUUAAUCGGAAUUACUGGGCGUAAAGCGCGCGUAGGUGGUUCAGUAAGUUGGAAGUGAAAUCCCCGGGCUCAACCUGGGAACUGCCUUCAAAACUGCUGAGCUAGAGUACGGUAGAGGGUGGUGGAAUUUCCUGUGUAGCGGUGAAAUGCGUAGAUAUAGGAAGGAACACCAGUGGCGAAGGCGACCACCUGGACUGAUACUGACACUGAGGUGCGAAAGCGUGGGGAGCAAACAGG